rnacentral:ncRNA from 1 species
CAAAAGCUUGGUCCUGACUUUAUUAUUGAUUUUAGUUCUACUUAUACAUGCAAGUAUCCGCGUCCCCGUGAGAAUGCCCUAACAGCUCCCUUUUUGGAGUAAGGAGUUGGUAUCAGGCACAACCCUGUGGUUAGCCCAUGACACCUUGCUUUGCCACGCCCCCAAGGGAAUUCAGCAGUAAUAGAUAUUAAACUAUGAGUGAAAGCUUGAUUUAGUAAAUACUAAGAGGGCCGGUUAAAUUCGUGCCAGCCGCCGCGGUUAUACGAGAGGCCCAAGUCAAUGAUUAGCGGCGUAAAGAGUGGUUAAAUAGAUCUGGUAUUAAAGUCGAAUCCCUUCUAGGCUGUUGUACGUUCACUGAGGGUGAGAAGCUCAACUACGAAAGUGGCUUUAUAUUCUUGAAUCCACGAAAGCUGAGGCACAAACUGGGAUUAGAUACCCCACUAUGCUCAGCCUUAAACAUUGGCAACGUAAUACAUUUGUUGUCCGCCUGGGGACUACGAGCACUAGCUUGAAACCCAAAGGACUUGGCGGUGCUUUAAGCCCACCUAGAGGAGCCUGUUCUAGAACCGAUAACCCCCGUUUAACCUCACCCUUUCUUGUUCUUUUGCCGCCUAUAUACCGCCGUCGUCAGUUUACCCUGUGAAGGAUACAUAGUAAGCGAAAUUGGCACAACCCUAAAACGUCAGGUCGAGGUGUAGCGUAUGGAAGGGGAAGAUAAUGGGCUACAUUCUCUGGUACAGAGAAUACGAAUGGUGUGUUGAAAUUACAUGCCUGAAGGAGGAUUUAGCAGUAAGUUGAGAAUAGAGUGCUCGGCUGAAAUUGGCUCUGAAGCGCGUACAUACCGCCCGUCAUCCUCUCCGAAGCUAGGAAAAGUUUUAUGUAUAAAUAAAAUGCUGUGUUAGAAAAGGGGAGGCAAGUCGUAACAUGGUAAGUGUACCGGAAGGUGUACUUGGAAUCAGACA